GUGCUUGCUUCGGCAGCACAUAUACUAAACUUGGAAGGAUACAGAGAAGAUUAGCAUGACCCCUGUGCAAGGAUGACAUGCAAAUUCACGAAGUGUUCCAUACUAAA
ensembl:snRNA U6 U6 spliceosomal RNA